UACAGAGGUCUCAAGCGUUUGUUCGGAUUCAUUGGGCGUAAAGGGUGCGUAGGCGGCGAGGCAAGUCUGGUGUGAAAUCCCGGGGCUCAACCCCGGAACUGCACUGGAUACUGCUUUGCUAGAGUACUGGAGAGGGAACUGGAAUUUACGGUGUAGCAGUGAAAUGCGUAGAUAUCGUAAGGAAGACCAGCGGCGAAGGCGAGUUCCUGGACAGUUACUGACGCUCAUGCACGAAAGCGUGGGGAGCAAACAGG
rnacentral:rRNA from 1 species